rnacentral:rRNA from 1 species
AACGAACGCUGGCGGCAUGCCUAACACAUGCAAGUCGAACGAGACCUUCGGGUCUAGUGGCGCACGGGUGCGUAACACGUGGGAAUUUGCCUCGGGGUAUGGAAUAACUCAGGGAAACUUGAGCUAAUACCAUAUAAUGUCUUCGGACCAAAGAUUUAUCGCCCUGAGAUAAGCCCGCGUAGGAUUAGCUAGUUGGUGGGGUAAAGGCUCACCAAGGCGACGAUCCUUAGCUGGUCUGAGAGGAUGAUCAGCCACACUGGGACUGAGACACGGCCCAGACUCCUACGGGAGGCAGCAGUGGGGAAUCUUGGACAAUGGGCGCAAGCCUGAUCCAGCCAUGCCGCGUGAGUGAAGAAGGUCUUCGGAUUGUAAAGCUCUUUUGCCAGGGACGAUAAUGACGGUACCUGGAGAAUAAGCCCGGCAAACUUACGUGCCAGCAGCCGCGGUAAAGUCAGUGACU